rnacentral:rRNA from 1 species
GAUGCAUGACGGGUGCUAUACUGCAGUCGAGCGAACUGAUUAGAAGCUUGCUUCUAUGACGUUAGCGGCGGACGGGUGAGUAACACGUGGGCAACCUGCCUGUAAGACUGGGAUAACUUCGGGAAACCGAAGCUAAUACCGGAUAGGAUCUUCUCCUUCAUGGGAGAUGAUUGAAAGAUGGUUUCGGCUAUCACUUACAGAUGGGCCCGCGGUGCAUUAGCUAGUUGGUGAGGUAACGGCUCACCAAGGCAACGAUGCAUAGCCGACCUGAGAGGGUGAUCGGCCACACUGGGACUGAGACACGGCCCAGACUCCUACGGGAGGCAGCAGUAGGGAAUCUUCCGCAAUGGACGAAAGUCUGACGGAGCAACGCCGCGUGAGUGAUGAAGGCUUUCGGGUCGUAAAACUCUGUUGUUAGGGAAGAACAAGUACGAGAGUAACUGCUCGUACCUUGACGGUACCUAACCAGAAAGCCACGGCUAACUACGUGCCAGCAGCCGCGGUAAUACGUAGGUGGCAAGCGUUAUCCGGGAAUUAUUGGGCGUAAAGCGCGCGCAGGCGGUUUCUUAAGUCUGAUGUGAAAGCCCACGGCUCAACCGUGGAGGGUCAUUGGAAACUGGGGAACUUGAGUGCAGAAGAGAAAAGCGGAAUUCCACGUGUAGCGGUGAAAUGCGUAGAGAUGUGGAGGAACACCAGUGGCGAAGGCGGCUUUUUGGUCUGUAACUGACGCUGAGGCGCGAAAGCGUGKGGAGCAAACAGGAUUAGAUACCCUGGUAGUCCACGCCGUAAACGAUGAGUGCUAAGUGUUAGAGGGUUUCCGCCCUUUAGUGCUGCAGCUAACGCAUUAAGCACUCCGCCUGGGGGAGUACGGUCGCAAGACUGAAACUCAAAGGAAUUGACGGGGGCCCGCACAAGCGGUGGAGCAUGUGGUUUUAAUUCGAAGCAACGCGAAGAACCUUACCAGGUCUUGACAUCCUCUGACAACUCUAGAGAUAGAGCGUUCCCCUUCGGGGGACAGAGUGACAGGUGGUGCAUGGUUGUCGUCAGCUCGUGUCGUGAGAUGUUGGGUUAAGUCCCGCAACGAGCGCAACCCUUGAUCUUAGUUGCCAGCAUUUAGUUGGGCACUCUAAGGUGACUGCCGGUGACAAACCGGAGGAAGGUGGGGAUGACGUCAAAUCAUCAUGCCCCUUAUGACCUGGGCUACACACGUGCUACAAUGGAUGGUACAAAGGGCUGCAAGACCGCGAGGUCAAGCCAAUCCCAUAAAACCAUUCUCAGUUCGGAUUGUAGGCUGCAACUCGCCUACAUGAAGCUGGAAUCGCUAGUAAUCGCGGAUCAGCAUGCCGCGGUGAAUACGUUCCCGGGCCUUGUACACACCGCCCGUCACACCACGAGAGUUUGUAACACCCGAAGUCGGUGGAGUAACCGUAAGGAGCUAGCCGCCUAAGUGUCAGAAGG